rnacentral:rRNA from 1 species
UGAGGAAUAUUGGUCAAUGGGCGAGAGCCUGAACCAGCCAAGUAGCGUGAAGGAUGACUGCCCUAUGGGUUGUAAACUUCUUUUAUAAAGGAAUAAAGUCGGGUAUGGAUACCCGUUUGCAUGUACUUUAUGAAUAAGGAUCGGCUAACUCCGUGCCAGCAGCCGCGGUAAUACGGAGGAUCCGAGCGUUAUCCGGAUUUAUUGGGUUUAAAGGGAGCGUAGAUGGAUAUUUAAGUCAGUUGUGAAAGUUUGCGGCUCAACCGUAAAAUUGCAGUUGAUACUGGAUAUCUUGAGUGCAGUUGAGGCAGGCGGAAUUCGUGGUGUAGCGGUGAAAUGCUUAGAUAUCACGAAGAACUCCGAUUGCGAAGGCAGCCUGCUAAGCUGCAACUGACAUUGAGGCUCGAAAGUGUGGGUAUCAAACAGGAUUAGAUACCCUGGUAGUCCACACGGUAAACGAUGAAUACUCGCUGUUUGCGAUAUACUGCAAGCGGCCAAGCGAAAGCGUUAAGUAUUCCACCUGGGGAGUACGCCGGCAACGGUGAAACUCAAAGGAAUUGACGGGGGCCCGCACAAGCGGAGGAACAUGUGGUUUAAUUCGAUGAUACGCGAGGAACCUUACCCGGGCUUAAAUUGCAGAUGAAUUACGGUGAAAGCCGUAAGCCGCAAGGCAUCUGUGAAGGUGCUGCAUGGUUGUCGUCAGCUCGUGCCGUGAGGUGUCGGCUUAAGUGCCAUAACGAGCGCAACCCUUGUUGUCAGUUACUAACAGGUUUUGCUGAGGACUCUGACAAGACUGCCAUCGUAAGAUGUGAGGAAGGUGGGGAUGACGUCAAAUCAGCACGGCCCUUACGUCCGGGGCUACACACGUGUUACAAUGGGGGGUACAGAGGGCCGCUACCACGCGAGUGGAUGCCAAUCCCCAAAACCUCUCUCAGUUCGGACUGGAGUCUGCAACCCGACUCCACGAAGCUGGAUUCGCUAGUAAUCGCGCAUCAGCCACGGCGCGGUGAAUACGUUCCC